CUUCCCAGUCCUUUGGUCAUCUUUGUGGCCCUCCUCUGGACCGUCUCCAGCCUGUCCACAUCUUUUUUAUAGUAUAGUGGGGACCAAAACCGAACACAGUACUCCACGUGUGGCCUGACAAGUGCUGAGUAGAGUGAGACGAUGACUCCUUUCUCUCUGCUGGUGAUGCCUUUGGUGAUGCAACCCAGCACCCUGUUGACUUUCUUUGCCGCAGCAGCACACUGUUCACUCACAUUGAGCUUGUUGCCCACGAGGACCCCCAGGUCCCUUUCCACAGAGCUGUUCCCCAGCUGGGUAGAUCCUAGUCUGUGCUGCACUCGUGGAUCAUGUUUUCCCAGGUGUAAGACCUCACAUUUGUCCUUGCUGAACCUUCAUAAGCUCCUUGUUAGUCCACUCUUCCAGCCUAUCCAGGUCUUCCUCUCCCUUCCUAAGUGACCACUUCCCCACUGACUUUGGUAUCAUCGGCAAACUUCAUCAGGGUACGCUCGAUCCCAUCAUCCAGAUCACUUAUGAAGAUAUUAAACAGCGUUGGGCCCAGUAUUGAUCCCUGGGGGGACCCCACUGGUGACAGGUUGCCAAUUUGAAAAAGAGCUAUUUCCCCCCACCCUCUGGGUGCGGCCUGGCAGCCAGUUCCCCACCCACUGCACAGACCACUGGUCUAGACCACAACGCGCCAGUUUCUCUAGGAGGAGGCUGGGGGACACUGUACUGAAAGUCUUGGAGAAAUCCAGGCAGACAGUGUCCACCACUUGCCCCACAUCGACCGAGCAGGUUACUUGGUCAUAGAAGGCCAUCAGAUUUGUCAAGCACAAUUUGCCUCUGGUGAAUCCAUGCUGGCUUUUGCCUAUAACGUGCUUCAUUUGACUUGUGAUAGCCCCAGGAGGAUUCAUUCCAUAACUUUCCCAGGGACUGAAGUAUGACCGAUGGGCCUAGAAUAUCUCCUUUGGGACGUGUGAAGGGACCUGCCAAGGCUGAAAAUCAGGAAGAACUGCCAUCAAGAGAGUCCUGGCCUCCUCCCAAAGCUCCCCACCACCCGUAAGAGGAUUUAUCUUGCAGCACCUUGAGGCAUUUAUUGCUUGUGCCAGGAGACGCAGCAGAGAUAAGGUGCCCGGCUGGCAGAGAAUAAAUAUUUGCAUUAAUAUUCAUCUCCUGCCCAAGUAUGUGUCGAUGUCCACACACGUGUGUCCUCCUCCCUUGCAGUUUUCCUCCUGCAAUCACAAGAGCAGCAAUGGGUACGCAAAAAAUGCCUUUCCCUUGGAUCCAGCACCUUAAUACUGACACAAGCACACCCUGCCCAGGCAAGGACUUUGGAUAUCAAGAGAGAUGGACCCAUAAGGAUCAUCAAGUCCAAGGAGGACUUUGCACAGUUGUCAUCAGAAAGUUGUUUUUCUUGGCAACAGCUUGAUUUUUCUGUUCCAAAGUCUUAUUCUUCCCACUGGAAAGCUGCUCGGAGCUGUGGAGAAGACACUAGAGAUAAGCAGGAAUUUUGUUUGGAAGUCGUUUGAGAGGAGAUCCAGAUCACCACCAAACCCCAGGAUGUCAUCUUGUACAACCCGAGGAGCUACUGCUUCAAGCACCCAGGAUCCCACUGGGCGUCACAGAGAGUUGCCAAUUUGCCAACUCCAUGAUCCAUUUUUGGGAGUGUGUGGGGGUCCUGGUGUAUGAGGCAGACAUCUUCAUACUGGCCAUUCUUGUCUCCAACCCCUUGAACUACAACGUUUUCUACAUGAAGGUAGCCAUGGAGAUCUCCUUGCACAACGUCCGCCUUGGCAACAUGAAGGACAUCUACACCAGGCUGUAUAACAGUCAACCUGCCAGUACUGAUGAGUGUUCCACUGUGUCAAGCUCGGUGUGUGCCAGGAGGCCGCUGUGGUCUCUGCUGGCAAUGUGUGGGUCACGGCCACCAUGUCCAAAGCUGCAAGGUUGAACAUCAAAGUCAUCACAGAGAAUCAAGAUAGUUCCUCCUAUAUAUCCAAAGGUGGCACCACCAUUAGCCUUGGGCAGCAUCAACUGAAGGGGUUGACGUACUUUGUCCAUGUUGCUGUAAACACCGGGCAGAACCUUCUGCCCUCAGUAAAUGGUUGAGCAAAACAAAUUGUAUCCAGACUGGGAAGAAGCCCAGGUAGAAUGGAAGAUGCUUCUUUUAGCUCCUAAUCCCCUUUUUUUACCAGGUUGGAGGACUCCCUGUUUUGCGUCCUCAAAUGUCUGGUGGAUCAGAUGGAACCUUUGAUGGACCUUCCUGAUGGGAAGACCUGCCAGAUUUUUCUGCUCUUGUAUUUGGGAGCUGCUGGAAACAGGUCCUGGUGCUGGAUGUGACUUUGGGCAAUGCCUUGAUGGGCUCCAACCAUGCGAGGCGAGGUCUAGAGCUGAGACAUGCUCAGAAUUCAGGCUCCUAUCUCUGCUUGCUGGAGGACUGAUCAUCUAUGAGACCUUCAGAGACCAAUGCAAAGGACUAACAAUCAGAAGCAAACCACCUUUUUAAUUAUGAACCUUUUAAAUUUAUUUAUGUCCAAGAGCCACUGCAAUGUUCACGGCUGGAGCAAACUCCUCCUGCAACCAGCUUGGGCAGAAUGUUUUGGCUGAAGCCCAAAGGAUGAAGUUGGGUCCCCAGGGCACUGGAGAUCUGCUUUUGUCAGCUGGAGAUGCAGUGGAGGUGGCAUUGAGUCAAGGGACACCAUCUUGGACCAAUUCCCCCCUGCCAUGGCCAUGGGGAACUGACGAUUCACCGUGGUCCUUGCCACAGACCCACCAGCAGCACCUUGGAGCAUUUCUCUGGUCUGGCAACAGGUCCUCCAACUGCGAGGGCUCCUGGACAUCUCGUCCUUUGCAGCACUUGUGAAAUGCCAUGGUCUUCUACUGGCGCAUGAACCUCUUCAACCUGGCCAGCUGGACUUGCUUUCCUGCAAGCAAGACAGCGAUGGGUCAAUGGGUGUUGGACCAUCUCUGCAGAGGAGCCUCUACAAGGUGCACACAGCUCCAUGCCUUUGUGGGGGCUUCCAAAGUCCCCCCAGAUGGCCCAAAGCCCACUUAGUGCCCCCUAAUCUUGCUCGAUUUUAGUGUGUGCACCUGUGAAUCCCUGAUCAGUGACACAGUUAAUGGGCACCACGCAACGGGGCCAGUGGUUCUCUUACCGAUCUGCAGGAGGAGAUGGAUGCCCAAAGCCAGAGCCAGGAGGGAGAGGAUCACAAAGGCCAGGCUGAGGGAGACUCCCAGCCCUGGGAGAAAGAAAGCAGAUGGUGAUGAUGAAGAGCACUGGGUCCCACAGGGCCAAGAGGGGUAAAGCCAAGCCCUGGACCAUCCCCACCAUGUCCUAGGCUGCGUGGUUCAUUUUCAGUCAUGCUAGGAAACCUGCAGAGCCAUCUUUGUGUCAGUGGGAAGGGAUCUCCAGAGCACUGAGAUAGGAGUUCCUGUUAGUAUGCUGGUCACACUCCUUCUCAUGAAGCCCCAUAUUUCCUUCCCCUGCAGUGAGAGCUCAUGGCAACUUGUACUCAACCCAGGGACCUCCAGGUCUCGAAUACAGUCAAACCAAGGACCUCCAGGUCUUGGGAGAGGGUUGGGAUUAUUGAUCCCUUCCUCAUCAGUGAGUGAUGGGAAGGUGGAAAGAAGCACGUAUCUCAGCUGCUUUGUGGGAAAUGUCUAUUUCCCUGGCAAGGAAAAGUGAGGAAUUUCCAUUUGAAGGUUCUGGCCAAGCUGAAGUUAGUAGCAUCACUGGUGGCACCUUGGAGCUUGGAAACCAGGAUUUUUGGCCAAACUUCAUCCAGAAAAGCAAGGAUGUUUACCUCCAGGUGGCAGCUCUGGGUUGGUAGCAAUGCUGCUGUUCCUCAGGUCAUCCUUCCCACCUAGACAACAAAUAUGUGGAGAAAGGGUCACCCCAAACUGGCCCCUCUGCCCCAUGCUGUGGAGCGGUUGCCAAAGUGACCAAGUGAAGUUUUGGGGUGGUGGGUGGCUAUUCCUAGGCUGGACCCAGGUGUUGUGGUUAAACACCUAAACACCACACAGCUGCUCGCUCACUCCCCUACCCACUGGUGGGAUGGGGAGAGAAUUGAAAGAAAAAAAAAAAAUGUAAAAUUCAUGGGUUGAGAUGAAGAUAGUCUAAUAGGCCAGAAAAUGAAGGUAAUUACAAUAACAGUAAUAAUAAUAAUAAUGCUGAUGGUGAUUAUCAAAUAAUUAGAAUAUACAAAACAAGUGAUGCAGAAUGCAAUUGCUCACCGCCCACCGCCUGAUACCCAGUCAGCUCCCGAGAAGCGGCCCCCAGCCGGCUUUCCCCCUAGUUUAUAUACUGAGCAUGACGUCAUAUGGUCUGGAACAUCCCUUUGGCCACUUGGGGUCAGCUGUCCUGGCUGUGUCCCCUCCCAGCUCCUUGUGUACUCCCAGCCUAAACACUGAUGGGGUGGUGUGAGCAGCUGAAAAGUCCUUGACUUAGUGUAAACACUACUUAGCAACAACUAAAAUAUCAGUGUGUUUACCAACAUUGUUCUCAUCCAAAAUCCAAAUCACAACACUGUACCACCUCCUAGGAAGAAAAUUAACUGUCCCAGCCAAAACCAGGACACCAGGAUACUCUAACUGGGUCAACUGGGAGCAUCCCUUCACUGAACUGAUCUUGCUGGUCAAGACCCAUCUGUGCUGGCACGGCAGGGACCUCGAGUCCAUGCAAGCAGGGUUAAUUGCUUCUGGGGUUUCUCAAGGGCUGUCCCUGAUAUGGGGCAGGAUCAACUUCCCCAUGCCCUUCUCCACUCACCUCUGGCGGUCAGGAUCCACGGGACACUCAACCUUGAAAGCGUGACCCGUCUGAGGCUGCUCCGGCGCUGGUACCCGCAGGAGUAGGUGCCGCUGCUCUCUGCGGAGAGCUGGAUGGUGAGUGUGGAGGUGAACUGGCUUUUUCCCACUGGGUGGUUCGCCAGCUCCAUCCCGUUCUUGCAGAAGAAGAUGUGGGUGAUGGGGACACGGGAAAAAACAAGGCACCGGGCAACAAUCAAGUCACCUUCCUGAGCUGAGGAGAUGUUUGGAAAGAGUGCUGGUGGGGGAAAGUCACCUGGAAGAGUAAAGAGAUGUGGUCAUGGUGUGAUGACACAGAGGUGAGCACUGGUGAGCACCGGACUUUCAGCACUCUAAUCUCAGAAUUGACCUUGCAGCUGCUUUUUGGUGGUAACAGCGAAUUAAAGAGGGGAAAAGAAAGAAGAGCUUGGAAGAGCCUGUUUUUCGGUCAUCUGACGACUCAAAAUACUUUGACUGUAGGAAAGCAAAAGUGCUGCUCAUUUCAGGAGUUGACACUGAUGCAGGUAAACACAUUGGGAAAAAAAAUGUGGGUAAAUACAGUGAAAAAUAUUUCUAGUGACUGAAACAUUUUUUUUUUCCAUCCAAGCUGAGUAUUUCAGAAAAGACUCUGAUGAAAUAUGUGAAUUUGUGGACAACAAAGCACGUCAUUGUGAUAUUUCCAAAGGGGAAUGUUUUAAUUUUCUUUAAUUUCAAGCCAAUAUUUCAUAGAAUCAUAGAAUACCAGGUUGGAAGUGGCUUCAAGGAUCAUCUGGUCCAACCUUUCUUGUCAAAAGAUUUCCUUCUCCAUCAUAAAAUUAAAAAUUGCAGCUUCCUCUGCCAAAAUCCUCUCUAGCAAAACUGGUAUCUUUCAUGCUACACUCUACCAAAUAUAUAUAUAUAUAUAUUGUUAGGUUUUUGUUUUGUUUUGGUUUUUUUUUUUUUUUUCAUUUUGGCUUGCCUUCUACCUUGAAAGGAAACACCAGCCCCAGGAUCAGAGCUGCAUUUUUGAACACCCCAGGAUCAGGAGACACCAUCCAAAGGACACAAGCAACAUUACAAUGUGGACCUGGAAGGUUUUUCCAACCACUCCUUUCCACCUGCACUCACCUGGGGAGCUGCAGGUCUCUGACUCCAUCCCACCAGCACCUGUAUGGGACAGCAGAAGGGGUUGGCCUGAGAUGGUCUGCUGGUCUAGGAGAGGACACCUUGCAGUGCACAUUUCUGAGGUUGGAGAUGCAACCUUGGGAAAGCUUGCAGAAAAUGGGGAGAGUUUCCUGCAGACCUCAGCACGACGGAGGUCAGAAAUCACCAGUGCAUAGCAAACAGGGCUUUUGGGUGAUGCCUUGUCCCUUUCUGCCCAGCCAGGGACAACCACACCAUCCCUGGACAAGAAGAGGGAACAAUCCUGUGCUCAUGAAUCACUACAAGGAUGCAGUUCCCUUUGUGGGAUCUGCCACCUUACAUCUCUCUUGGCAAAAUAAGUCCCUGGCCAAGGGUUGUCCACAAGCUGCCACAGCAAAGAUGAACCUUCAGACUCCCCCAAAAGACUAUCCGUUGUUUUCAGACUGUUGGACUCCUUAGAAAUCACUCCAGAAACCCACAAUUUUUGCUCUUGGCUGAUGCCUCAACUUUGUCUCUGGAGAUUUCCCAAGGGGACUGCUUAAAAUUCACCUCACGCCAGCCCAUGGUGCUGCCCCUCAGUGUGACUCUCCAAAUUGCCCCCCAGACACCCUGCCCGGCCACCUACCUGCCAGCCAGCCCAGCAAGAGCAGGGUACCCGCUGCCUCGGCCAGCCAGCUCCUCUUCACCAUGAUUAUCUGCAAGCAGUGCUGAGCUCCUCAGGACCAAGCCACAGGGGAAAGGGGAAGCUGAGGCUGGUUUCCUCCCAGUGGUUCAUUCCCUGGGACAUGACCCAGCAUCUUCUGGGGGAGGAGCAAGCAAGGGGACGGGACAGACAGGGUGAGUAUUGCCACAUCAGGUGCAUGCACAUGAGCUUGCAAACUGGGCAGCAGCACCUGGGACUUUCCUCCCCCACCCAAAAAGAGACCUCAGAAGAGGCUGCUUCGUCAUGGUGUUUUGCACCACGUUCGUGGGCGCCGGUUUUUGGGUGGCUCAGGGUCCAUCACAACUGUUGCCAGUGGCACACAACAUCUCCCAGCAGGUUUCCGUCAUCCUGGAGCGGGGGGAACCAGCUCCCCCCAGUUCUCGCUAUAGCCUCAGCCCUGAGGUUCCCAUUUGUUCGUUCCUCACAAUACAAAUAUGCAAUAUCCUUUCAACGUCAUUGGGAAGAACAGAGUUUCUUAAUUUCUUUUUUUUCUUUUUUUUUUUUUUUUCUUUUUGUGUGUGUCUCAACCCUAGACUGACAUGCAACCCAGCUGCCGACACAGAAGUGCUGUUUCAAAUGCCCUGGACUUGUGAGGGAAACCUAGGGGAUCCCCAGAGUUAUUGGAUACCUUUACCUUCUAAAAACCAAGCUUGGAGCUCCACUGACAGGAGCUCAGUGACUUGACUAGUGUGGAACUGAGGCUUGUAAAAUCCCCAUCUGCCCAGCGUGCAGUGGGAGAAGGGUCUUCAGCUCAUUCUUCUCUGAGCUUUCAUGGAUGGAAAGGGGUCUGUGUGGUCCUGUGUGAAUCCUCCCAAGUCCAGACCCUCCCAGCCCUGUGAAUCCUCCCGUUUUCUGCACAAUCACUGGGUUUAGUCCCUGGGCUCCAUCCCCAGGGGUGCUGGAAUUCAACUUGUUGGGAUCCAUCAUUCCCUGGUGGGUCAAGCCAUCUCUGUGGGGCAGGCAUGGAGAUGAUGUCCACCAAGGAGAAGCAGCUUUGACUCUGAAGUUAAAGGAGUGCACCCACCAGAAAAUCAACUGAAAUAAACCUUUCUCCCCUUUUCCCCUCUCCUGCACGUUUCUUUUGCGUGCUGCUCACUUUCAGUUUCCUUUUUGAAUAUAUAUUUGUAUUUCCUGG